rnacentral:rRNA from 1 species
UACAGAGGGGGCAAGCGUUGUUCGGAAUUACUGGGCGUAACGGGCGCGUAGGCGGCCUUCUAAGUCGAACGUGAAAUCCCCGGGCUCAACCCGGGAACUGCGUCCGAUACUGGAAGGCUUGAAUCCGGGAGAGGGAUGCGGAAUUCCAGGUGUAGCGGUGAAAUGCGUAGAUAUCUGGAGGAACACCGGUGGCGAAGGCGGCAUCCUGGACCGGCAUUGACGCUGAGGCGCGAAAGCCAGGGGAGCAAACGGG